rnacentral:rRNA from 1 species
UACGAAGGGGGCUAGCGUUGCUCGGAAUUACUGGGCGUAAAGGGCGCGUAGGCGGGUGUCUAAGUCAGAGGUCAAAUCCCAGGGCUCAACCCUGGAACUGCCUUUGAUACUGGACACCUAGAGUAUGGGAGAGGUGAGUGGAACUCCGAGUGUAGAGGUGAAAUUCGUAGAUAUUCGGAAGAACACCAGUGGCGAAGGCGACUCACUGGCCCAUUACUGACGCUGAGGCGCGAAAGCGUGGGGAGCAAACAGG